rnacentral:rRNA from 1 species
GACGUAGGGCGCGAGCGUUGUCCGGAAUUAUUGGGCGUAAAGAGCUCGUAGGCGGUCUGUCGCGUCUGCUGUGAAAACCUGGGGCUUAACCCCGGGCCUGCAGUGGGUACGGGCAGACUAGAGUGCGGUAGGGGAGACUGGAAUUCCUGGUGUAGCGGUGAAAUGCGCAGAUAUCAGGAGGAACACCAACGGCGAAGGCAGCUCGCUAGGACGGUACUGACGCUGAGACGCGAAAGCGUGGGGAGCGAACAGG